rnacentral:rRNA from 1 species
GUGCAGCGACGCCGCGUGGGUGAAGAAGCGCCUCGGCGCGUAAAGCCCUGUCAGCAGGGAAGAAAAUGACGGUACCUGAAGAAGAAGCCCCGGCUAACUACGUGCC